rnacentral:rRNA from 1 species
AGGUGCGAUCAUACCAGCACUAAUGCAUCGGAUCCCAUCAGAACUCCGCAGUUAAGCGUGUUUGGGCGAGAGUAGUACUGGGAUGGGUGACCUCC